UACGUAGGGAGCAAGCGUUGUCCAGAAUCAUUGGGCGUAAAGCGCGCGUAGGUGGCCUCAUAAGUCCGCUGUGAAAGUCAAAGGCUCAACCUUUGAAAGCCGGUGGAUACUGUGAGGCUAGAGUACGGAAGAGGCGAGUGGAAUUCCUGGUGUAGCGGUGGAAUGCGCAGAUAUCAGGAGGAACACCAAUAGCGAAGGCAGCUCGCUGGGACGUUACUGACACUGAGGCGCGAAAGCGUGGGGAGCGAACAGG
rnacentral:rRNA from 1 species